rnacentral:rRNA from 1 species
UAAAAAGUUCGUAGUUGGAUUUCUGUCGGAGACCUCCGGUCCGCACUAUGUGCGUGUAUCUGUAGGGUUCUGGCAUCCUUCCGAAAGACGUCGCUAUGCUUAACUGCACGGUGCGGAGUUCGGAACUUUUACUUUGAGGAAAUUAGAGUGUUCACGGCAGGCCAACGCCUUGAAUAUAUUAGCAUGGAAUAAUAAUAUAGGAUUUCGGUUCUAUUUUGUUGGUUUCUAGGGCUGAAAUAAUGAUUAAUAGGGACAAUUGGGGGCAUUCGUAUUAAGGCGUCAGAGGUGGAAUUCUUAGAUUGCCUUACGACGAACUACUGCGAAAGCAUUUGCCAAGGAUGUUUUCAUUGAUCAAGAGCGAAAGUAAGGGGAUCGAAGACGAUUAGAUACCGUCGUAGUCUUUACCAUAAACUAUGCCAACUAAGGAUGGGGCGUCGUUAUUUUUUGACUCGCUCUGCACUUUAUGAGAAAUCAAAGUCUUUGGGUUCCGGGGGGAGUAUGGUCGCAAGGCUGAAACUUAAAGGAAUUGACGGAAGGGCACCACCAGGAGUGGAGCCUGCGGCUUAAUUUGACUCAACACGGGAAAACUCACCAGGUCCAGACAUAGUA